UGGGGAAUAUUGCACAAUGGGCGGAAGCCUGAUGCAGCAACGCCGCGUGAGUGAUGAAGGCCUUCGGGUUGUAAAGCUCUGUCUUUUGGGACGAUAAUGACGGUACCAAAGGAGGAAGCCACGGCUAACUACGUGCCAGCAGCCGCGGUAAUACGUAGGUGGCAAGCGUUGUCCGGAUUUACUGGGCGUAAAGGAUGCGUAGGCGGAUUUUUAAGUGAGAUGUGAAAUACCCGGGCUUAACUUGGGUGCUGCAUUUCAAACUGGGAAUCCAGAGUGCGGGAGAGGAGAAUGGAAUUCCUAGUGUAGCGGUGAAAUGCGUAGAGAUUAGGAAGAACACCAGUGGCGAAGGCGAUUCUCUGGACCGUAACUGACGCUGAGGCAUGAAAGCGUGGGUAGCAAACAGGAUUAGAUACCCUGGUAGUCCACGCCGUAAACGAUGAGUACUAGGUGUAGGAGGUAUCGACCCCUUCUGUGCCGCAGUUAACACAAUAAGUACUCCGCCUGGGAAGUACGAUCGCAAGAUUAAAACUCAAAUGAAUUGACGGGGUCAUAGCUGUUUUCCU
rnacentral:rRNA from 1 species